rnacentral:tRNA from 1 species
GGCCCCGUAGCUCAGCCGGAUAGAGCACCCGCCUUCUAAGCGGACGGUCGCUGGUUCGAGUCCAGCCGGGGUCGCCA